AAUGAACGCUGGCGGCGUGCCUAACACAUGCAAGUCGAGCGGCCGCACGGUAAGCUUUCUUCUCUGCUGUUAGCGGCGGGCGGGUGAGUCACACGUGGAUCACCUUCCUCUAUGUCUGGGGUAACUACGGGGACCCGCAUCCAAUACCGGCUCAUAUUUUGAACCGGAUGGUUCAAAGGAGCUACACGCCUUUCCUGUUCCUAAUAGCUGGUUCCGCGCUGGAUUAGCUAGUUGGUAGGGUAACGGCUUACCAAGGCGACGAUGCGUAGCCGAUCUGAGAGGAUGAUCGGCCACACUGGAACUGAGACACGGUCCAGACUCCUACGGGAGGCAGCAGUGGGGAAUCUUGGGCAAUGGGCGAAAGCCUGAUGCAGCAACGCCGCGUGAGUGAAGAAGGUCUUCGGAUUGUAAAGCUCUGUUAUUAGGGAAGAACAGAAGUAGGAGAAUAUGUGGAUGUCUUGACGGUACCUAAAGAAAAAGCAACGGCUAACUACGUG
rnacentral:rRNA from 1 species